rnacentral:lncRNA from 10 species
GAAAGAGGGGAGAAUUUAUUCACUGGCUCCUGUCUCACCCUGGUCAAGAAUUGUCCAUGAGAAACCCUUACCUACAAGGCAUCGGCGAGUUUGGGACUUAAGCAUUUGCUGCCUGAUCCUCCUUGCUUGGGCACUGCAUACCAACACCUUCCUUUCUACAGCUGCAAACCUUCCUUUACAUAUCUGGUUCUACUGUGCCAGAACAAAGAAUUGAUUCAAUGCCAGACUGUCUGGAGCCAGUAGAACUGAAGAAAAUGAUGACUACUAGGGAAUAGAUUUUAAUAUGUGUAAUAUGGUUUAGUUGACCACAAUUAUUAACAAUCAACAUAUCAUAGAAACAAUAUAUUGUUUUCCCUAAUAAUCAGGCCUGGGUCUACAGAGUUGUACUGAGAACAGGAUUAGUGUAGCUGAUGAUAUAUGAAGAGUUAUCUUUGUCACACAGCCUGAAAGAUUAUUAAAUGUCUACUUGGUCAAGCACUUAAAGCAUGCAUUCUUUAGCUAUCCUUUUCUCUCUUAAUUUCUUUUAUAAAAUUCAGGAGAUGUUCUGAUCUCUGAGAAUGUAAAACUUACAAGUGCAAAUUUAAACCUCCAAAUUGAUGAUAAUCUUUUGGUGGAUAUAGGCACAGAAAUAAACAAAAACAAAAAUAAAAAAAAAUUAUGUGUCAACAAAUGCUUAUUUGUCUAUAGGUAGAUUUUGCCAGCCCAGAAAUAGUUUCCUAGGUUUCAGC